rnacentral:rRNA from 1 species
GUGUCAGCCGCCGCGGUAAUACGUAGGAGGCAAGCGUUGUCCGGAAUCACUGGGUGUAAAGGGUGCGCAGGCGGGAGGGUAAGUCAUCGGUGAAAUCUCACAGCUUAACUGUGAAACUGCCGAUGAUACUGCUCUUCUUGAGUUUGGGAGAGGGUGGUGGAAUUCCUGGUGUAGCGGUGAAAUGCGUAGAUAUCAGGAAGAACACCAGUGGCGAAGGCGGCCACCUGGCCCAUAACUGACGCUCAUGCACGAAAGCGUGGGGAUCAAACAGGAUUAGAUACCCUGGUAGUCC